rnacentral:lncRNA from 1 species
GUUUUGAAUUUAAAUUGAAUGAUUGAACAAAAAGUGCUUAGAAAUUUAAUGUAAUUAAGCUUGAUAUUGGGUGUAUUAAAUUGGGCUCGAAAUGGUUUGUGUGUGGUUGAAUAUUAGCCGCAUUACAUGUCGGUUGUACGCAUAGCAGGGUGAUUUAUGUGAGUUGUGGUUUAUAAUUGGAUGUAAUUAGAAUAGAAAUGUGAAUGUAUUAUGGUUUAUGGAAUUGAAAUGCUCAUAAUUAUGCUC